rnacentral:rRNA from 1 species
AGCGAACGCUGGCGGCAGGCCUAACACAUGCAAGUCGAACGAACUCUUCGGAGUUAGUGGCGGACGGGUGAGUAACACGUGGGAACGUGCCUUUAGGUUCGGAAUAACUCAGGGAAACUUGUGCUAAUACCGAAUGUGCCCUUCGGGGGAAAGAUUUAUCGCCUUUAGAGCGGCCCGCGUCUGAUUAGCUAGUUGGUGAGGUAAAGGCUCACCAAGGCGACGAUCAGUAGCUGGUCUGAGAGGAUGAUCAGCCACAUUGGGACUGAGACACGGCCCAAACUCCAACGGGAGGCAGCAGUGGGGAAUCUUGCGCAAUGGGCGAAAGCCUGACGCAGCCAUGCCGCGUGAAUGAUGAAGGUCUUAGGAUUGUAAAAUUCUUUCACCGGGGACGAUAAUGACGGUACCCGGAGAAGAAGCCCCGGCUAACUUCGUG